rnacentral:rRNA from 1 species
CGGACGGGUGAGUAAUGCCUAGGAAAUUGCCCUGAUGUGGGGGAUAACCAUUGGAAACGAUGGCUAAUACCGCAUGAUGCCUACGGGCCAAAGAGGGGGACCUUCGGGCCUCUCGCGUCAGGAUAUGCCUAGGUGGGAUUAGCUAGUUGGUGAGGUAAGGGCUCACCAAGGCGACGAUCCCUAGCUGGUCUGAGAGGAUGAUCAGCCACACUGGAACUGAGACACGGUCCAGACUCCUACGGGAGGCAGCAGUGGGGAAUAUUGCACAAUGGGCGCAAGCCUGAUGCAGCCAUGCCGCGUGUGUGAAGAAGGCCUUCGGGUUGUAAAGCACUUUCAGUCGUGAGGAAGGAGCCGUAGUUAAUAGCAGCAUUAUUUGACGUUAGCGACAGAAGAAGCACCGGCUAACUCCGUGCCAGCAGCCGCGGUAAUACGGAGGGUGCGAGCGUUAAUCGGAAUUACUGGGCGUAAAGCGCAUGCAGGUGGUUUGUUAAGUCAGAUGU